UACGUGAGGUGGCAAGCGUUGUCCGGAAUUAUUGGGCGUAAAGCGCGCGCAGGCGGCCUCUUUAAGUCUGAUGUGAAAGCCCCCGGCUCAACCGGGGAGGGCCAUUGGAAACUGGGAGGCUUGAGUAUAGGAGAGAAGAGUGGAAUUCCACGUGUAGCGGUGAAAUGCGUAGAGAUGUGGAGGAACACCAGUGGCGAAGGCGACUCUUUGGCCUAUAACUGACGUGAGGCGCGAAAGCGUGGGGAGCAAACAGGG
rnacentral:rRNA from 1 species